CUCCGAUGAAGGCUUUCCUUUGGCUUUGGAAGGGCCACUUGCUGCCACUUGGGGGAUGAACCUCUUCGGCUUCUUAACAGCUUGUUUUCUCUCUACGCCACAAUCCUCCUCUCACUUUCACUUCCCCUGCACAGUGCUUCUUCCAGCGUCGUGAGAGCUCUAUUUCCCCAGCUUCUGUCUCAGCUUGGAGAAUUCCCUAACAAUUACACCACUUUUUCGCGGUAAAAGGCAAGUUUCGCUUCUCCCUUAACGAAACAAUUUUCU
rnacentral:lncRNA from 1 species